CCAUAUGCAGUAGAAGUAUUACUUGUACAUGUUCCGUGUAACGCGCAGAAAUGAAACAGAUAUCGCCAAAUGCAACUUCUUACAUAAUUUUAGGAGAGGCAUACUAUGUGUUUACAAUGAUUUCAUGGAGCAUUAGCUUAAAUUUAGCAUGAACUAAGCACAAUAGUACAACUGAGCAUUCACUAUUCCUCUUUGUUUGAGUUUUUAUGCAAGCUGUGACAUGAUAUCCGCAUACUUGCAUGUCAUUCAGUAUGUUGCAUCCAAUAGAAUUAUGUGAUCUUACUUAAAAGCUUGUCGUGAAUUGAAUCUACGACACAAGUUGCAGUUAAUAGAAGUGCUCCCAAAUUCAAGCGGCUGUGCAUACUCUGGCUGCAUUCUUAGUACAUGAACCAGAAGCUGCUGCAUAAUUUACCCUGCAGAGAGAACAGAUACUUAGCUUUUUCCAAACAUACAAGCUAGUAAAAUCAGUCCCAACAGUGGACCAGAAACAACUGUUUUCAAAACAAGACUGAUAAUCCCUGGAUCAUAAAACAGAGUGUUCUGAACAUAAACUUGCACUCCAAGCAGUAUGCUAGUGUAGUAUUGUUUCCCAGAACUUGUCUUUCUUUUGGUGUAUAUCAGUGUUAAAAAUCUAAUAUAGAUCAACUCUGAACUUGGACAGGGAUGUCCAGAUGCUUCUGCAUACCAGAACAAGUGCAUUCAGAAUUGGGAUGACAUAUGUACUUUAUUUGCC
rnacentral:lncRNA from 1 species